rnacentral:lncRNA from 1 species
AGCUUCAACACUCGUUACUUUGCUAGACAAUUGAACUUGGGACUCCCUGUUGCAACUGUCUACUUCAACUCUCAGAAGGAACCUGCAUAUAGGAGGCGCACAUGAUCAACAAUGUGGGCAUUAUAUUAAGCAAUUAAGACUUAUAGUUUCUCUGGCUUUGUUACUUUACUUUUUUAUAUGCUUCGCCUUUGGUUUAAAACAAAAAUAAUAUAGUUACAUUUUAUAUAUUUUGGUGUGCUUUACACAUGUGACUAUGUGAUCUCAUUAAAAGGUGAAAGUUUAAUUCCUGGGAGUGACACUUAUUGAGAGGGACAAUUACGUAAUUUAAUUCAUAAUCUUAGAAAUUAGAUUAAACUGAAUUUCUUAAUAGGUUAAAUCUCUUAAUAAAGUCGAUAAAUUUCUUCCAUAGUCUAUGAUUAUCAUAUUUAAUUUAUAAAGGUAAAUAAAAUAAAUGCUGAUAAAAGAGGGAGAAAACAUUUAUGAUAUGGAGAAUUGGAGGAUCAAGGUACAAUGUGUAAUAAUCUAAAGAUUAUGGUGUUCACAUGUCCUCCAUUUCAUGUCAAAGGUUAAUUGAGUCCUUGAACCUGCUCAGAUCAGACAAUGUGUGUUAGUUGUUGUGGAUAUCACCUGAAAGUUAUAUGGUUCACGCUAAAUCUGUACUUGGUUCAUUUACUCAUACCACCGUCGGAAAAUUUAUGUGGGUAGUGUAAUUUGAUUACACUAUCCCACGUUUGGGGUAGAUAUUGAAUUAAUUACGGGAAUGAUGUAGUUUUUAUGGAUAUCGUGGAUGAGGUCCACGAUUUUACCAAAGUCGUGGAUGGGAAAUGCGAUUUCCCACAAAUCUCGUGGACCUAAGCCAUGACUUUCUUACACCGUAUCAGCCUUCAUAUAAGUCGUGCACCUGGGACACGACUUUCAUGCCAAUGUCGUGGACCAGGUACAAGAGUUUCAUGCAAUUCUCGUGGACCUAAGACACGAGAUCCAAGUCGUGUCUUGGAUCCAUGAUAUCCAAACAACAUAUAUACAUCCCCGUCCCAACUUAAACCACACCGAAUGAAGAAAACGUAUGAGAAAUAUUUAGGAUAAUUCAUAAUUGAAGAAGUGUGAUUAUUAUAGGUAAUUAAAAAUACUUUAUACUUUUCAGUUCAUUUAAUUGUGUUAAUUUUAUUUAAUGUUACUGUAUGUUUAAAUGUAAAUAUUGUAUGUUUAUAUGUAUAUGUCAAUUAUUUGAGAUAUUGUUAGUGAUGAUGAGGACAUUGAGCUAUGUGAUAAUGAUGAUAAUGUUCAGAUUACCACUAGUGAACCAGUUAGCAUAACAUAUGACACUUCUUCAUCUUUUUUCGUUAGCAUUGAUUAUCAGUUUAGACAAGAUUUUCCAUAUAGAAGUACUCACGUAAGCAUUGAUAUGGAUAAUGAUCUUUUUGUUGGUAUGCAAUUUGAAUCAAAGGAAACAACAAUAAAUGAUGUAAAACAAGGCAAAACUAAGUUAUAUAAUGUUACAAUUCAUGUAAUAUCAACUUGUGUAAUAUAUUGAAAUUCUAAUUUAUGUAACAUUAAUUUGUGUAAUAUAUUAAAAUAAUUACACCCAUAAAUACACACAUAUUAAUUACAUUUUAAAAAUUUAUGUUUACCAAAACGGAACUUCAAUGAAACUUGUGGACUGCACCCAUGAGAUUCACCACAAUUUAAGGUAUGUCGUGGACUGCACCCACGAUAUUGGUGCAGGGUUAGGGUUUUAAUGAAACCCGUGGACCUGAAUCACGAGAUUGGAGUAGGGUCUUAAAUGCAAAUCGUGGAUCACGUCCACGACUUUAAUGAAGGUCGUAGAUGAUAGCCAUGACAUUGGCCCAUGCUAGGGUUUAGAGCUAGAAAACCAUGUACGACUAGGGCACAACUUCCACAACCAGGUAGAAAGUUGUGGACCCUAUACAUGAGUUCCUCGAAGUCGUGGCCCCCAUCCACGACUUCCAACCUCUAUAAAUUGGGAACAUCUCCCCUCCAUUCUCACACCAAAUCAAAAUCCUUCAUCCCUUCCGAAUUACUUCCAAAUAUUUCUCGAUUUCCCGAUAUCUUUAGUCCAAAAAAUGGAACAUAUUGGUACAUGUCCUAUUAACCCUUCCCUUCUCAACCUUCAAAAAGAUCAUGUCUCCACCAACAUAUGGAAUGGUGGAGAGGUUACGUUUCGAGCAAGAUACAAUUUUUGGCAACGAUUACCAUCUGUACCGGUGUUAGAAGUUAUUUGUAACACCAUGUUAAUGGAGCUGUUGUUACUGGAAUUACGAGCGCAAAUUGGGAAAUUAUUUGUCACAACUUGUUGAGUGUAAUCCCAACGGAUAAACAAAUUAUGGGCCAAAGAAUCCAAAUGAAUUGGCUAGACUCAACCUUUGUCGUGCUCCUAAAAGGUGUUGAUGAUGUCGUUAUUGAACAACAUGCAAGAGCCUUCAUAUUACGCAUGAUUAGAGGCUUCCUCAUGCCAGAUACAUCAGGGUCACAAGUCCACCUGAUGUAUCUCCCAUUGCGGGAGGACUUAUCACAGACAUUCCAAUAUAGUUGGGGUUUAGCUGCAUUGGCAUGUCUAUAUCGCGGAUUAUAUCGUGCGAUGCUGAUUGGUCGCCAGAUUGAAAUUGGAGGAUGCUUACAUAUACUACAGUCAUGGGCAUAUGACCACAUCCCAAUGCUAAUUCCAAGAUUACACAAUGAUGAUUUACAAAUAUUUCGUUUUGUCCAAAGGUAAAUAAUUUUUCCAAUUUUUUUCAAAUUAUAAUAGUUUAUAUGUCAAACUAUUUAUAUAAUACUAACUUCAUAUAACAUUACAUUUUAGGUGGUCACAACAUCUAAUCACUACCAAUAUUCCUAGUCAUACAACCAACAUAAUACGAUCAAUGUUGGAUCGCUUGCGCAUUGAUUAGGUAAUUUCUGUAAUUUGUUAAUAUUAAUUUAUUUAUUACUAUUUCUAUUUUUUUGUUACUAAUUUUUUUUAUAUAUUAGUUUGUCUGGCCCCAUAUAGGAACAUUACCUAUGUGGGCACCAUACCUGAUAUAGCCCGAGCACGUGUGUCACUCAUCUGCUUUGCACUUGCUGAGUGGCAUGCUGCUGAUCAGAUUAUGAGGCAGUUUGGUUUACAACAACUCAUCCCAGAAGAUCCAAUUAAUAUGGAGAAACAACACAAGAUGGAUCUACGUGGAAAAAUGAUUACAAUUGGCCACAAAAGCAUAACUAGUGGAUUCAAAUUUGGAAUAGUCGGGAAAGCUAUGUGGUAAAUGGUUUUCUCGAUGACCACCCUUUGUAUUAGUACUCGCAGUAUAUGCAGUGGUACUUACAAAGGAGAAGGAAAUACAUAUAUCUAGACAGCACAUAUUCGACUAGAUCGGUAAGAAUAUGAAAUUUUCUAUUUCUAAUUUAUUUUGAAUUGUAUUGACAUAUUCUAACCUUAUAAUUUUUUCCACUUUUUUCAGUACAAUUUUAUUAAAAUGAUUCGGGAUAGGUGUGCUCCUACAAAUGUGUUUCCAAAUUCGUUGCAGUCACUGAAUGACGUCUACCUAAACUGCAAUGAGAUGAUGAAAGUGUUUGCUCAACUACUUCCAACUGCCUUCUCCUCAGGUACUUCGCAAACUCCUCCUACACAACAGUUUCAAAUGCAUGUUGCACCUGAGUUUCAGCAACAUUAUGAUAGUCAAACUCAGACGAAUACUUAUCCGCAAACAUACACUCAAACUCCUGCUCCUCAACAACAACAACAACAACCCUUUGGGUUUGAAGGUUUCUGAGCAAUGUGUGACUACUCAUUUUCUCACUUAACAUCUUCUUCGCAAUUUCAAGGAAUGUCAUCAAUGUUUGGCACAACUUCAAAUACUUCAUUAUCGGCAUUCCACUCUCAACAAUAUUAUCAACCGACAAUGUGUCCAACCACCUCGAAGGAGGAAGACACCUGGAUGUGGAACAUCAUCUCAUAGACACCAUUAAGAAUUUCUAUUCUCGUUCUGUUUUUUUAAUGUAAUCAUUUUUGAAUUCCUAAUACAAUUAUCGAUCUCAUUUCUAAGAAAUUGUCUUAUUAUUUUAAUUUAUGCAUUUUAUUUUUAAAUAACUACUACAAUAAAUGUUAAAAAAUAUCAAAAACUUUAACCAAAUUUCAUAAAACUAACACUUUAGUAAAAUUAUCAUAUUCAAUUAAAUUUUACGAUUUUAAUUUAACAUAUUUUUAUACACUAAAAAUCAUAAAUCUUAACUUUUUUUAAAAUACUCACACUACAGUUAAUAAAACUAAUCCCUAAAACAAUAAAUAAACCUACCAUAUUCGUGUAAAGGGGAAAUUCAAAAAUCAUUAUAUCUCAUCCAAUCUUGUGCAUAGUGUACACGACUAUGGAAGUCGUGCAUAUCAUCCACGACUUCGCUUGAGGAGAGAGAGUGUGUAAGAAAGUCAUGGCUCAAGUCCACGAGAUUGGUGGGAAACUGCAUUUCUCAUCCACGACUUUGGUAAAAUCGUGUACCUCAUCCACGAGAUCCAUAAAAACUACACUAUUUUCGUAAUUAAUUCAAAACUUAUCCCAAACGUGGGAUAGUAUAGUCAAACUACACUACCCACAUAAAUUUUCCUACCACCGUAUAUAUAUAUAUAUAUAUAUAUAUAUAUAUAUAUAAAGUAUGAUCUGUUUACACUCAAGUUAAGUUAUACUAGUUACACUUAUUUUCAUAUAUUGAUUUUCUUAAAUUCAACGGACCAAAUAAUUGAAAAUUAAAAGUCAUCUAAGAUUCUUCUUUUUACUCUCGUCACUUUUUCACUCACUCAUUUAGUUUGUUGGAUUUAAGAAAAUUCAUGGAUAUAAUUAAGUAUAAUUAAUAUAACUUAACUUAACUAUAAUUAAAAGUUAGUCAUCACAUGAUUAAUUAAAAAUGGCAUGUACAUGUAUAUUUUAAUCUUGACUUUUUAAAUAAUAUCUACGUGUUCAUAUUAACUAUUUUCAUUUUCCACAUAUACACCUAUGCUUUUAAUUAUAUAAUGGGGGAGGACUUGACAAUACUAUAAGAGAGACUUGGAUAUCAUGACGAUCUGGAUCCUCUCCUGUAAUGGAGAGGCCAGUACUAACCUAAGAUUAUGACACGUGGCAAUUCAAUUUUUAAUGGUUAGGAUUUUAAAAUGCAAAAAUAUAUUUUUAAUUAAAUUAAUUCAAAAAAUAAAUUCUAUCUUCCUCCUCUUCAACAUCCGUUACUUCCUCCAUUGCUACACAAGGAGAGAGAAAACACAAACACAGAAGAGAUAAACAAGAUAUGACUAUUGGCUCAUCCUUUUUCUUCUUCUUCUUCGACGGUGGCAUUAUAGGCGGUAGCCUGGAGAGCACAGAGUUAAAAAACAAGAGAUGACUAUUGACUUUCUAGACUUUGGGGUUAUGUGCUUGCCAUGGAUUUUAGAGGGAAGAAACAUAAGUUUUGAUGAUGUUACUUUUCUAUCUGUGUUUUCUCCCUCAUAAGUUUUGGAUUACCAGGAAUGUUGCUAAAAAAAUAUGAAACCCUACAUGGAUGGCCUAAAUUUUCACCAUGGAAAAGGUUUCCCAUUUUUCUAUCUGUGUCAACAAGGACAACAAAUAUCUCAAAAUAUUUGGUCCUUCCAAUUGAAAAAAAACUGGGUUUCAUUCAGUAUUUUUUUUCUCUCCUAGUGUAGUAAAGGAGUAGAUGCAGUUGGAUAGGAAGAUAGAAUUUAUUUUUUGAAUUAAUUUAAUUAAAAAUAUAUUUUUGCAUUUUAAAAUCCUAACCAUUAAAAACUGAAUUGCCACGUGUCAUAAUCUUAUGUUAGUACUUGCCUCUCAAUUAUAGGAGAGGAUCCAGACUCAUUUAGGAGGAAGAGUGACACAAAAUUGCAGUUGUUGAAGAAAGAACUCAUGUUCGUCAAACAAGGCAAAAUGAGUAUGAGUCAAUAUUUUACCAAAGUAAAAUAUAAUCCCAAUGAAAUUGCAAAAUUUGAGAAUAGUUGAGAUAGAGAAUGCAAUCAGGGAGGCGAGAAAGCAGAGGAUAAUUAUUCAUAAUUGAAUUCUAAAUAUCAUGAGAUACUUACACCUACUCAAGGAUGGGGCAAAGAACAAACUUUAACUUAGUUGGAAAAUAUAUUGACCAAGGAAGAUUUUUAGACAAACAUGUAUCUAAAGUUUCAAUAAAUGAAGAGGAUAUACACACCCGAUAUAGAGAUGACAAAGCAUAGAAGAAGUAUCACCUUGAGGAUGAUCGAUGUUAGAAAUGUGAUAAAGAAGAAUAUGACCUCCAAGCACCAUUUUCUACAUGAGAGUUUGGCUCUAGUGAAAAACUAGAUGAUGAAGGACAGCCAUAGUCGAAUAGAACUAGGAUCAUCUAUCCCAAAAUUUCUUGUUCUAAUCUCUUAAACCAAUUAUAUUAUAUCAAAUAGUAUAAAAAUAUUUUUUUAUUUUUUUAUUUUUCUUUUCAAGUAGGUGUCAAUUUUCAAUUGGUUCAAACACGAUAGGAUGUAAAAAAAUAAGACAACUAAUCUCCAUUCUCUUAAAUGACACUAAGGAGAUUUCCACAUCAUGCAUGGAUAGAUUGGGAGAGUAGGUAGAGUUUGUCACAGUGAAUGACAAAUUAAUCAAUCAUGAUUAUGAGUGGAUUAUUGAUUCUGAUUUUUCCAAAUCUGAACUCUACCAAAUGGCAGUCAUAAACUCAUAAUCAAUGACUGGAUUAUUGAAAGGCUUACCAAAUCUGAAAGUUUUAGAAAUGGGCAUGCGCCUAUUGUACAUCAAAUGAAAAUGAUAAUAUGGAAAUAAUAAUUAUAAUAAAGGUUAUGUUAUGUUUUUAGAUUGUUCCAUUUAUAAUAAAUAAGUACUUAAUUCAUUAUGCACUAUGCAUAAAAGAUUCAUUCUUACUUUAUAGACACCCACUUUAAAAAAAACUAAUUACAUGCAUUUAAAUAAUAGUAAAGAUUUAUCAACAACUUGUUGGUUCAUUCGCAAGCAAACUAGUUCACAAAAUAUUACUUAUUAAAGCGAGUAGAUACUUUUGAUUGGGUGAACCGUGAACGUCCAUUUACCUGCUCAUAUAAAUUAGAAAAUUGAUACACAAAUCAGAAAUAACAUACAUAUAUAAUACAUAGACUCUUAUAAUUUUUUUUAUCCUAUCAAGGUAUCUCAUGACCUUAUAAAUAAGGAAUUAAUUCUUUCUGGGUAUAUGACUAUAUCUCUUAAUUAAUGUACUCCUAAAAAUUGAACAAUUAAUCUUUUGAUCAUCCCAAAGAUCUAACAAAACUUAACAUAACUAGCUAGACUAACGUCUAGUUGGUAUAGACCAAUUAAAGUGGGAUUUAAACAUUGGCUCAAUAAGUUGGGCUAAAUAUAUAAUUGAUUAGUUAAUAUAUCAAAAUGAUACUUUUCUAGCUAGUUAAGCAUAGUUGAGAGAGUUUCCACGUACCAAAAUGUCGAUAACGGUGCAACUCAUUGCAUAUAUGAUGAUGAGAAUAAUAGAUUUUCAUGCUAAACCUUGUGAAGCAAACAACUCUUGCAAGAAACUCAAUUUCGUUGCCUGUACGACCUUGAAAAAAAUAGAUCUAUGUCUCUAUGUGCGUUAUAUGUGAGAGAAAAGGUGCAACAAUAAUUUCAAAGAUAUCUGGGACAGAUAAUUUUGAGAACUUUGUACGGUCUAGCUUUCUGCACCUGGCACAUGUUUAAACUAUAAAAACUUGGACCAGUUUAUUAACUUGUUUUACAAUCUGGCUAUUUUUACAACAUCAAAAAUGAGAAUCGUUU